rnacentral:rRNA from 1 species
GGGUUGUGAGGUUAAGCGACUAAGCGUACACGGUGGAUGCCCUGGCAGUCAGAGGCGAUGAAGGACGUGCUAAUCUGCGAAAAGCGUCGGUAAGGUGAUAUGAACCGUUAUAGCCGGCGAUGUCCGAAUGGGGAAACCCAGUGCAAUUCGUUGCACUAUCGUUAACUGAAUACAUAGGUUAACGAGGCGAACCGGGGGAACUGAAACAUCUAAGUACCCCGAGGAAAAGAAAUCAACCGAGAUUCCCCCAGUAGCGGCGAGCGAACGGGGAGCAGCCCAGAGUCUGAAUCAGCUUGUGUGUUAGUGGAACGGUCUGGAAAGUCCGACGGUACAGGGUGAUAGUCCCGUACACCAAAAUGCACAGGUUGUGAACUCGAAGAGUAGGGCGGGACACGUGGUAUCCUGUCUGAAUAUGGGGGGACCAUCCUCCAAGGCUAAAUACUCCUGACUGACCGAUAGUGAACCAGUACCGUGAGGGAAAGGCGAAAAGAACCCCGGCGAGGGGAGUGAAAAAGAACCUGAAACCGUGUACGUACAAGCAGUGGGAGCACCUUCGGGUGUGACUGCGUACCUUUUGUAUAAUGGGUCAGCGACUUAUAUUCUGUAGCAAGGUUAACCGUAUAGGGGAGCCG